rnacentral:rRNA from 1 species
GGGCCCGCACAAGCGGUGGAGUAUGUGGUUUAAUUCGAUGCAACGCGAAGAACCUUACCAGGGUUUGACAUCCUGCGAACCUCUGGGAAACCGGAGGGUGCCUUCGGGAACGCAGUGACAGGUGGUGCAUGGCUGUCGUCAGCUCGUGUCGUGAGAUGUUGGGUUAAGUCCCGCAACGAGCGCAACCCACGUCUUUAGUUGCCAGCAUUUAGUUGGGCACUCUAGAGAGACCGCCGGUGACAAACCGGAGGAAGGUGUGGAUGACGUCAAGUCAUCAUGCCCCUUACGUCCUGGGCUACACACGUACUACAAUGCUACGGACAAAGAGCAGCUAACUCGCGAGAGUACGCAAAUCUCAUAAACCGUGGCUCAGUUCAGAUCGUAGGCUGCAACUCGCCUACGUGAAGGCGGAAUCGCUAGUAAUCG